UCCAAGACAACGGGGUGCCCCGCCGAGGGGCUGAGAACACACCCGUGGAACCUGCUCUAGCUCGCACUAGCGGAGGGAUUGUCUCCUCGACGCGC
rnacentral:ncRNA from 2 species